UAUAUAUAUUUAGCUUUUAUUAUGGAAAAUGUUAAACAUAUGUAAAAGUAGACAAAAUAGUAUAUAAACCUCCAUGUACCCAUCAUCCAGCUUCAACAGUUUUCAACCCAUGGCCAAUUUGUCUCAUCUAUGCCUGCACCCUCUCCCUCUAUGCCUGUUAUUUUAAAUCAAACCUCAGACAUCAUAUUAAUUCACCCAUUGAUGCUAAGCUUUAAAGUACUGUAAUGAACAGAGAACAGAACAACUUUUGAGGGAAAAUAUAUUCAUUUCAGAGGUUUUUCUUUUAUUUAUAUCAAGUUGUUCUUACCUCUUAGAAGAUGCGUUCCUUCCAAGAAAUCUCUUAAGUAUUUGAACCGCAAAGAACAGCCACUUUGCUGUACAGCUUCUGGUGAAACAUGAAUGCACCAGACGAGAAGUCAGGACACCCGGGUUCUAGUGUCGCAGCCCCUGACCAGCUGUGUGAUACUAGGAGUGAUAACAGCUAUCUUUGACUGAGUCCUCGCUUGCAGCUCCACAUUCACCAUUUCACUUCUAUUACUAUUGCUAUUUUACAGAUGGGGUUAGAAAAGGUAAGCAACUCGCCCGGGAAGAAAGAAUGGCAGACGUGGGAUCUUAUCCAAAUCACGUCGAGGCUCCAUUUCCUCUCCGUCCCAUGGAGUCUAUCACUCAAGUUCAACCUACUGCUCUGGAGAAUAAUGUAUUAAGUGCUCGGCAAACCGCUUUGAAAAUAUUUCAAAUUCCAAUCACAAAACCUUUUCGAGAGAUGAGGAGGUGAUUCUACAGCUGACUUUAAGUAGGGUUGAGUUUGCUGUGGCCUGAGUGAGUGGUGUGGAAGACACCCCCUGAUUCCCCACACCUCUCUUCUGCUCAUCACUGCCUGAAAGUCUUCGCUUUUGCUUCUCUUUAUCACUGCCCGAAAUUUCACCAAUUCAGGAUUCAUUUGGGUUAAAAGCAUCUCAUUUAAAAGGUAAAUAUCUCCAGUCAUUCAUGCCUUAAAGUACAUUGAUUUACUCCGUUACCCUAUUGGAACACCCAGUGUGGGUCAGCCAUGUUGAACUAGAAUGUACUGAGGUUGGUGGG
rnacentral:lncRNA from 1 species